rnacentral:lncRNA from 1 species
UAUUUCCAAUAUAGCUCCACUCCAUAAUUUGUAUACUCUUUUAAGUAGCAUUUUCUCAAAUUUCCAUUUGCUAAAGUGUCAUUUCCUACCCAAGUGCUGGAGCUCUCAGAGCCACAUUUCAUGACCCUUGUUUGACAGGAACUUUGCUAACAGAUGCAGGGAGGGACAGCCUUUGGAAUUCCUUGAGGUAAUGUUAUGUUAUACCAAAAAUAUCUACUAGGGUUUUACAGAAAUGCCAAACAUUUUCGUAGAGUCUUUGGAAUUCCUGUAGAAGGGUUUUACAUAGGAGCCAUCAUUUUUAGUGUACAAAUUUUCUUGUGAUUUCAUCAUGGAACAUUUUAGUCUUCCAAAUAUAUUUUUGAGAAACAACUUUGAGAGAGAAUUUUUUUUUCAUAAGAUAAAGAGCCCUCAUUAAGAAGUGUGAAAAUUUUCUUAAUUUCAAUAGAAGAAUAAUAUUCUAAAGUCUCAAUAUAGAUAUGUGAGAAUAUAGAAAAUACUUUUCAUUUUGGGACAGGUCAUUUAUAAAAGGUAAUUUAUUUGACAAUUUCACCAUUUUCAAUGCCUAAAAAAGAUAAGUUUGGCAUGAUGCACCACUAUCAUUUUGUUGCUUUAAAAAAUACAUUGCUAAUUAGACCUUGGAAACAACAUUUUUAGAGUUUGUUUUGCAGAGAAACACAGAUACUCCUUAAGGUGACAUGAACACUUGGUAGCAGAAUAGAAAUAAUAGUAAUCAAUAUAUUGUUGAGUCUGGACACUCCAUGACCCUUAAACUACUAAAGGACAGUGUUAAUGACAUCAUGGUCAAAGAUUCUCAUCUACUGUAAACAGGCCAGUUAGCUCAGUAAAGCUCUACACCAGGGCAGAUAUGAUCUUUAAAUGGUGUGUGAAAGAAAACCUCACAACUCAGAAUGAGUUAUGAGAAAGUGUGUUCAUCACAUUCUAGUCAGGAAAAACAACUUUUCACCCUAAGAUAAAAACAAAGCAAAAUAAGACAAAGCAAACUCUUGCGGGAAGUCAGGGACCCCAAAUGGAGGGACCAGCUGAAGCCAUGGCAGAAGAACGUGGAUUGUGAAGAUUUCAUGGACAUUUAUUAGUUCCCCAAAUUAAUGCUUUUGUAAUUUC